AGAGUUUGAUCCUGGCUCAGGAUGAACGCUGGCGGCAUGCCUAAUACAUGCAAGUCGAACGAGGGUCCUUCGGGACUCGAGUGGCGAACGGGUGAGUAACACGUAGGGAACCUGCCCGUGCGACCGGGAGAACUUUCGGAAACGGAAGCUGAUACCGGAUAGGGACAGAGACGGCAUCGACUCUGUGUUAAAGGAGCUGAAAGGCUCCGCGCACGGAUGGACCUGCGGUGCAUUAGCUGGUUGGUGAGGUAACGGCCCACCAAGGCGACGAUGCAUAGCCGGCCUGAGAGGGCGGACGGCCACACUGGGACUGAGACACGGCCCAGACUCCUACGGGAGGCAGCAGUAGGGAAUUUUCGUCAAUGGGCGCAAGCCUGAACGAGCAAUGCCGCGUGAACGAGGAAGGUCUUCGGAUCGUAAAGUUCUGUUGAAGGGGAAAAAGAGCGGAGAGAGGAAAUGGUCUCCGAUUGAUAUUACCCUUCGAGGAAGUCACGGCUAACUACGUGCCAGCAGCCGCGGUAAUACGUAGGUGGCGAGCGUUAUCCGGAAUGAUUGGGCGUAAAGGGUGCGUAGGCGGCCUGCUAAGUCUGGAGUGAAAGGUACCGGCUCAACCGGUACAGGCUCUGGAAACUGGCGGGCUAGAGAGCAGGAGAGGGCGGUGGAACUCCAUGUGUAGCGGUAAAAUGCGUAGAUAUAUGGAAGAACACCAGUGGCGAAGGCGGCCGCCUGGCCUGUUACUGACGCUGAGGCACGAAAGCGUGGGGAGCAAAUAGGAUUAGAUACCCUAGUAGUCCACGCCGUAAACGAUGAGGACCAAGUGUUGGGGGAAGACCCAGUGCUGCAGUUAACGCAGUGAGUCCUCCGCCUGGGGAGUAUGCACGCAAGUGUGAAACUCAAAGGAAUUGACGGGGGCCCGCACAAGCGGUGGAGUAUGUGGUUUAAUUCGAAGCAACGCGAAGAACCUUACCAGGCCUUGACAUAGGGUGCGAAGCUAUGGAGACAUAGUGGAGGUAAACAUCCAUACAGGUGGUGCAUGGUUGUCGUCAGCUCGUGUCGUGAGAUGUUCAGUUAAGUCUGGCAACGAGCGCAACCCUCGUGAUGUGUUACCAAUAUCGAGUUAGGGACUCACAUCAGACUGCCGGUGAGAAACCGGAGGAAGGCGGGGAGGACGUCAAAUCAUCAUGCCCCUUAUGGCCUGGGCUACACACGUACUACAAUGGCGGCGACAGAGGGCAGCGAGCCUGCGAAGGCAAGCGAAUCCCCAAAAAGCCGUCCCAGUUCGGAUUGGAGUCUGCAACCCGACUCCAUGAAGUUGGAAUCGCUAGUAAUCGCGGAUCAGCAUGCCGCGGUGAAUACGUUCUCGGGCCUUGCACACACCGCCCGUCA
rnacentral:rRNA from 1 species